rnacentral:rRNA from 1 species
UACAGAGGUCUCAAGCGUUGUUCGGAUUCAUUGGGCGUAAAGGGCGCGUAGGCGGUCUGUCGCGUCGGCUGUGAAAACCCGAGGCUCAACCUCGGGCCUGCAGUCGAUACGGGCAAACUAGAGUACUGCAGGGGAGACUGGAAUUCCUGGUGUAGCGGUGAAAUGCGCAGAUAUCAGGAGGAACACCGGUGGCGAAGGCGGGGUCUCUGGGGCAGUAACUGACGCUGAGGAGCGAAAGCGUGGGGGAGCGAACAGG